CGGCGAGGACGACCUCGCCGCCGUGGCGGCCGAGGCCGGCGACGACGUCG
rnacentral:ncRNA from 1 species